UGCGCAGGCGGGGUCUGAAGCCAGACGUUAAAUCCCCGGGCUUAACCUGGGAAUCGCGUUUGGAACCAAGGCUCUGGAGUGUGGCAGAGGGAGGUGGAAUUCCGCGUGUAGCAGUGAAAUGCAUAGAGACGUGGAGGAACACCGAUGGCGAAGGCAGCCUCCUGGGCCAACACUGACGCUCAUGCACGAAAGCGUGGGGAGCAAACAGGAUUAGAUACCCUGGUAGUCCACGCCCUAAACGAUGUCAACUGGUUGUUGGUGGGGUUAAACCUAUUAGUAACGAAGCUAACGCGUGAAGUUGACCGCCUGGGGAGUACGGCCGCAAGGGUAAA
rnacentral:rRNA from 1 species